CGUAACAAGGUCUCCGUAGGUGAACCUGCGGAGGGAUCAUUACACAACAAAAAUAUGAGGGUGUGGUUUGCUGGCAACAGCGUCCGCCCCAAGUAUUUUUCACCCAUGUCUUUUGCGCACUUUUUGUUUCCUGGGCGAGUUCGCUCGCCACCAGGACCCCACCAUAAACCUUUUUUUAUGCAGUUGCAAUCAGCGUCAGUAUAAUAAUUCAAUUUAUUAAAACUUUCAACAACGGAUCUCUUGGUUCUGGCAUCGAUGAAGAACGCAGCGAAAUGCGAUACGUAGUGUGAAUUGCAGAAUUCAGUGAAUCAUCGAAUCUUUGAACGCACAUUGCGCCCUUUGGUAUUCCAAAGGGCAUGCCUGUUCGAGCGUCAUUUGUACCCUCAAGCUUUGCUUGGUGUUGGGCGUCUUUUUGUCUCUCCCCUUGUUGGGGGAGACUCGCCUUAAAACGAUUGGCAGCCGACCUACUGGUUUUCGGAGCGCAGCACAAAUUUGCGCCUUCCAAUCCACGGGGCGGCAUCCAGCAAGCCUUUGUUUUCUACAACAAAUCCACAUUUUGACCUCGGAUCAGGUAGGGAUACCCGCUGAACUUAAGCAUAUCAAUA
rnacentral:rRNA from 1 species